UGACAGUGCUGCACUGUUCAACAUAAACAAUUGUAAUAGUACUGUAGUCUUGCUGUAUUCAACUAAUUUCUUUGCAUAUGUUUUCAUUUACUUAUCUCUUAUUUUAUUUUAUUGUAUGACAAUGUUUAUAUGUGAAGCAAUUUGAGUCUGCCUUGUGUAUGAAACGUGCUAUAUAAAUAAAGUUGCCUUGCCGUAUGUAAUGUGUGUGUGUGUGUGUGUGUGUGUGUGUGUGUGUGUGUGUGUGUGUGUGUGUGUGUGUGUGUGUGUGUGUGUGUGUGUGUGUGUGUUCUGUUAUGGUGCAGACCGUAGCCUCGCUAUGUUAGCCUCCCCUGCUCCCUGUGUAGCUCGGCGAGCCGGUCGUGCCAGUGCUCCACGCUCAGUAGACAGCCAGCCAGACAUCCAGCCGGCCAGGAAGAUACUAUCCGAGGUAUAGCCCAAUGCUUUCAGCCGGGGCUCGCCUGUCCCCCCUGUACAUUUACAAACAACUCCUUCCUCCUGUCUGCGGAGGGAGAGACACAGAGAGCCAGAGAGAAAGAGAGAGAAAUAGUUUCUGUGUGUGUGUGUGUGGGGUGGAGAGGAAAAAAGGAGUUGAAGAGAGCAAGAGGGCGGGCCGCCUUUGACCUUCGUAGCUGUGUCAAUUUUCACAUAAGGAACAAAGGAGAAGCCAGGAGAAUCCAUCAGCGUGCUGCGGGUGCUGGACUGGAUGCCUGGACUCUCCUCAUGGAUAACCGGCCAGAACCCCAUCACCAUUUUAAUGAUGUACAUGUAUUUACCUGUAUGCCAAUUGUGGCACCCAUUGCACUCCUGACCAUCCCUGGAAGAAGGGAUCCCCUACACUGCGUUUCUUCUCAAGAUUUCUUCCUUGCUGAUUCAAGGGAGUUUUUUCUUGCCCGUGUGGGGGCAUGGGUAAAGGGGGGUGUCACAAAUAUUUGGCCUGUUAAAGCCCUUUGAGACUGUAAUGGUGAUUAAGGGCUAUAUAAAUAAAAUUGAAUUGAAUUGAAUUGAAUUGAAUUGAAUUGAAUUGAAUAACAAUCUGAUGAAUGGCAGAUGAUUUACAAUGUUGGGGGGUUGGGGGGGAAGGGUAACGUUCCCGCCGGCGGGACACUGCAGACCGCGUGUUUUUAAAAUGUGGGAUUUCUAUUUCACAAUCAUAUAUUUUCCUUUAAAAUUCUGACUCUUACUUAAAAUGUUUCAUCCUAAGCAUAUUUUAAAUUCAUUAAGCAAAUGAAAGUUGAGGAAAAACCCAGCAAGCAGAAAAAUGUUGGAUUUCAAAUAAGGUAUUCAGUUAUUAAUAAAAUACACUAUAAAUAGCAUCAAUACAUCAGAUCUCAUCUCAUGUCAUCGUCAUCCGCUUAUCCGGGGUCGGGUCGCGGGGGGAGCAGCUCAAGCAGGGGGCCCCAGACUUCCCUUUCCCGGGCCACAUUGACCAGCUCUGACGGGGGAAAUUCCCGAGGCGUUCCCAGGCCAGUGUUGAGAUAUAAUCUCUCCACCUAGUCCUGGGUCUUCCCCGAGGUCUCCUCCCCACUGGACGUGCCUGAAACACCUCCCAAGGGAGGCGCCCAGUGGGCAUCCUUGCCAGAUGCCCGAACCACCUCAGCUGACUCCUUUCUAAGUAAAGGAGCAGCGGCUCUAAUCCGAGUAAAACUCAUCUCGGCCGCUUGUACCCGCGAUCUCGUCCUUUCAGUCAUCACCCAACCCUCAUGACCAUAGGUGAGGAUAGGAACGAAGAUCGACCGGUAGGUCGAGAGCUUUGCCUUGCGGCUCAGCUCUCUUUUC
ensembl:lncRNA